rnacentral:rRNA from 1 species
AUGGCAGCUCAGACCGGAGCAGCGCUCCUCCUCGUCGGCCUCCUUCCAUCUGGAAUGUUGCAGAUUUGGAUCUGGAGUGAUGCAAUACAUCUAAUGGAUGGACAAACGCUUACAUUAAUCAAAAGAACACUAACUAACAUGGACAAAGAACGUGAGGGAUUUGGGGAACGCAGGCAUCUCGGGCACCCUGAUUCCUCAACUGGGACAACUGAAGAACCUGCAGUACCUAGAGCUGUACGCGAACAAUAUGAGUGGAUCAAUACCAACAACUCUGGGCAACCUGACACUCCUGAUCAGCCUCGAUCUUUACAACAACCAUCUCACCGGCGUGAUACCUUCCUCGCUUGGGGCAGUCGGGACACAGCGUUUCCUAGGCUAUUCGUUGGUGUCUCCCUGCAGGAGGCUGCAUGGGAACAAACUGGCAGGGGGUAUACUGGCGUCAUUGGGCCGUCUGAUGAAGCUUGUCGAGCUGGAGCUUCAGGAGAAUACGCUGACCGGCACGGUGCCGCUGGAGGUUUGGUGCUUUGUGCUCGCAAGAGUUUUCCAAUUGGAAUCAUUUGCAGUGGCUACUGUCAUCCAGGACACGCUCAAGACUACACUCUGAGCACUAGUGGUAACCUGAACUUAUGUAAGAUUUUUGAUCCGUGGUCGCCCGUAAAGAAGAUUAAUGGCUGUUCAACCACGCUCUUAUAUGAAACGCCCUCUGGCUUCGCAAUUAUAUCUUGUGAUGGGGUCAACCCCAAGAUUCCAAUGGAGGACAUCUGGGCAUACCCACCAGAGAAUGUCAGGGUGGUGAAAUUCAUUGAGUUUGAGGACAAGUGUACUGCCAUUGACCUUGCCAAGGAAAUUAUUGAUAACAAACUGUCUGACAUGCUCACCGAGUUUUGUGGCUCUGAGCAGAAACUACUUGUUGGCCGUGCUGAAUAUAAAAGAAUAAUUGAAAGGAAGCUGGCAAUAACCUGUCAGCAUGAUGAUAUUGUGGAGCAGAUGAUUUGGGGUCUAGAGAAUAUCAUGCAUAAUCUAUUGGCUGAACAAACAUCAGAGCUGAGGGAGUAUCGCUGCCUCAAUAGCAAAGGAUUAAUCCUUUUCUUACAUCAAUAUGGCUUUCUUGUCAAAGAAGAGUUGAUUUUGUCAGCUUCUGAGUAUCUGAACAUAAAAUCCAUGAGACGUCAAUACAGAGAAGUGAUUAUGUCUGUGGUUGAUGUCUUGUCGGUCUACAAAGAUGUUCUUGCUCUCUAUGAAAAAAGGCUUGAGAUUCUGUCAGAUAUAAACCUCGUGCUGCCGCUGAGGCCAAAGAAGAUCAAAUUAUGGAAUUCUCGUUUUUUGAGAAAACUCAAUUCGACUGAUUUAUGUACUGGCUCCAAAGUUGGAACAGAAGCUAUUACUGAUGUUGAUGGUAUGCUUGACUCCGCCACUCAAAAUAAUUGUAGUGGAGUAGCUCUUGUGAAGAGCAGUGAAUUGGGUUUCCCUGAGACACGACACGAUGUUACUUAUGAUAUGCAGGCUGGAGAUACUGAUACAAAGCAUACAAGUGCAGCACGAAGCAUGGGUGAAACUCAGAAAGAGAAUAACAUUAAAGAACCUGGUGCAAUGGGAGUGAAAGCAGCGGACAGCUUGGAAAAUUUUGAGCUGCCUCAGACUGCUGAUGCUAGCAACAAAACGACUGCACAGCUUACUCAAGAAACUACUGGAAAUGGGAUGAAGGCUCUAGACAGUGCAGGUGAAAGCAUGCAGAGCGGACAGGUAUUUUCCCCGAGAGGCGACGAGAGCAAAGAAUUGGAUUUCCCUGCGACACUACAAGAUGUUCCUUGUGAUAAGCAAACGAGUGCAGCACAAAGCACGCGUGAAACUGCGAAAAAGAAUAACAUUGAAGAAUCUGGUGCAAAGAGAGUGAAAGCAGAGGACAACUUGGAAAAAUUUGAGCGGCCUCGGACUGCUGAUGCUAGCAACGAAACGACUGCACAUUCUACUCAUCAAGAAACUAGUGAAAAUGAGACGAGUGCGGCACAAAGCACGGGUGAAACGGAGAACAAGAAUAACAUUGAUGAAACUAUUGCUGAUGGAGUGAAAGCAGAGGAAAGUUUGGCAGAUGUCAUGCGGUCUCAGACUGAUGACUCUAACCUGCACAUGACUGCACCGCAGGACCCAAAUAAGAGCCAAGUUGAGCAGACUCAAAAAGCUGCAGAAGGCGAGCUUACCAGAAGCCAAGCUGAGCAGACUCGAAAGGCUGCAGAAGGCGAGCUUACCAGAAGGGAAAAGUUCAGAGUGAAGGACAUUUUGGCUGAGGACGAAGCCAAGACCAAGCCAGCAAAGCAACGUCUAUGGAGGUGGCUUAUUCCCUGCCUCUCUGAGCAAUGA